rfam:Ixodes scapularis strain Wikel colony gcontig_1108379765226, whole genome shotgun sequence.
GCGCUCGUGGCGUAACGGUUAUCGCGCUUGCCUUCCACGCAAAAAGCCAAGGUUCGAUUCUUGGCCGCG